rnacentral:rRNA from 1 species
CGGACGUAGCAAGUACGUCAGCGGCAGACGGGUGAGUAACGCGUGGGAACGUACCUUUUGGUUCGGAACAACACAGGGAAACUUGUGCUAAUACCGGAUAAGCCCUUACGGGGAAAGAUUUAUCGCCGAAAGAUCGGCCCGCGUCUGAUUAGCUAGUUGGUGAGGUAAUGGCUCACCAAGGCGACGAUCAGUAGCUGGUCUGAGAGGAUGAUCAGCCACAUUGGGACUGAGACACGGCCCAAACUCCUACGGGAGGCAGCAGUGGGGAAUAUUGGACAAUGGGCGCAAGCCUGAUCCAGCCAUGCCGCGUGAGUGAUGAAGGCCCUAGGGUUGUAAAGCUCUUUUGUGCGGGAAGAUAAUGACGGUACCGCAAGAAUAAGCCCCGGCUAACUUCGUGCCAGCAGCCGCGGUAAUACGAAGGGGGCUAGCGUUGCUCGGAAUCACUGGGCGUAAAGGGUGCGUAGGCGGGUCUUUAAGUCAGGAGUGAAAUCCUGGAGCUCAACUCCAGAACUGCCUUUGAUACUGAGGAUCUUGGAACUUCGG